GACGAACGCUGGCGGCGUGCCUAAUACAUGCAAGUUGAGCGCUGAAGGUUGGUACUUGUACCCACUGGAUGAGCAGCGAACGGGUGAGUAACGCGUGGGGAAUCUGCCUUUGAGCGGGGGACAACAUUUGGAAACGAAUGCUAAUACCGCAUAAAAACUUUAAACACAAGUUUUAAGUUUGAAAGAUGCAAUUGCAUCACUCAAAGAUGAUCCCGCGUUGUAUUAGCUAGUUGGUGAGGUAAAGGCUCACCAAGGCGAUGAUACAUAGCCGACCUGAGAGGGUGAUCGGCCACAUUGGGACUGAGACACGGCCCAAACUCCUACGGGAGGCAGCAGUAGGGAAUCUUCGGCAAUGGACGAAAGUCUGACCGAGCAACGCCGCGUGAGUGAAGAAGGGUUUCGGAUCGUAAAACUCUGUUGGUAGAGAAGAACGUUGGUGAGAGUGGAAAGCUCAUCAAGUGACGGUAACUACCCAGAAAGGGACGGCUAACUACGUG
rnacentral:rRNA from 1 species